UGAUUCAACAGCUGGCCUUUGUGACGGUCAACAAGGACCGGAAAGAAUCGUUUAGAGCAAAAUCUGUCAAAAGUUUGUUAUCAAAAAGUUGUAUAUUUUCUUGAGAAAUUAGUAACCCUAUCGAUACGGCGGACACUACGGAGGCUUUGUUUUUAUUGUUACGUGAAAUGUAGAAGUUUUCAAGAAAAAAUAGAAGAAUAGCAGCACGAACAUCGUGUCAGACGCGUGAAAUAUCCGGACUAACGACCCUGCAGUCGAUUAGGUUGAAAAAAAAAGUUGGUGUGUAGGAAAAAUUGGCCCACAUGGACCGAGUGCUCGGUUAACCAUACAAUAACACAGUACAAUACAACGUGGAUAAAAUAUACGUCGGAAUUCAAUCAGUGGCUUUUAUUUACAGAUGCUACGAAUCUAUAAUAGUAAAAAUAUCGAGUUGUGGUUAUAUACAGUGAAAUAUAUAAAUGUUUAUUGGCCACAAGGUGAACGACAGACAGUGGCGAGCAAUCACACAAUUUUAUCAUAUAAUUACAAAAGACUACUAAAUACAAAUCGAUACAAAAAAAAAGAAUAUCUAUUUACAAGUCUCAAUAUACACCAGACUCAUACACAAAAUCAGGAAUUUAUACAUGGAAAAAAGAG